UACGAAGGGGGCUAGCGUUGUUCGGAAUUACUGGGCGUAAAGCGCACGUAGGCGGGUUAUUAAGUCAGGGGUGAAAUCCCGGAGCUCAACUCCGGAACUGCCUUUGAUACUGGUAAUCUAGAGAUCGGAAGAGGUGAGUGGAAUUCCCAGUGUAGAGGUGAAAUUCGUAGAUAUUGGGAAGAACACCAGUGGCGAAGGCGGCUCACUGGUCCGAUACUGACGCUGAGGUGCGAAAGCGUGGGGAGCAAACAGG
rnacentral:rRNA from 1 species